GAGUUUGAUCCUGGCUCAGGAUGAACGCUGGCGGCGUGCUUAACACAUGCAAGUCGAACGGACUCAUAUUGAAACCUAGUGAUUUAUGAGUUAGUGGCGGACGGGUGAGUAACGCGUGGAUAACCUGCCGUAUACCGGGGGAUAACACUUAGAAAUAGGUGCUAAUACCGCAUAAGCGCACGGCUCCGCAUGGGGCAGUGUGAAAAACUCCGGUGGUAUACGAUGGAUCCGCGUCUGAUUAGCUAGUUGGCGGGGUAACGGCCCACCAAGGCAGCGAUCAGUAGCCGGCCUGAGAGGGUGGACGGCCACAUUGGGACUGAGACACGGCCCAAACUCCUACGGGAGGCAGCAGUGGGGAAUAUUGCACAAUGGGGGAAACCCUGAUGCAGCGACGCCGCGUGAGUGAAGAAGUAUCUCGGUACGUAAAGCUCUAUCAGCAGGGAAGAAAAUGACGGUACCUGACCAAGAAGCCCCGGCUAACUACGUGCCAGCAGCCGCGGUAAUACGUAGGGGGCAAGCGUUAUCCGGAUUUACUGGGUGUAAAGGGAGCGUAGACGGCAGCACAAGUCUGGAGUGAAAUCCCGGGGCUUAACCCCGGAACUGCUUUGGAAACUGUGCGGCUGGAGUGCANGANGGGUAAGCGGAAUUCCUAGUGUAGCGGUGAAAUGCGUAGAUAUUAGGAAGAACACCGGUGGGCGAAGGCGGCUUACUGGACUGUAACUGACGUUGAGGCUCGAAAGCGUGGGGG
rnacentral:rRNA from 1 species